CUACUUGGCCCAAAUAUAUCAGAUCAGAGGUUUUGUAUCGAAACGGGUGAUCAAAAGUUAAAGAGAAACGGAUAAAUAAUUUAUGAGGACACCGCGUCCGGCUUGACGUGUCUCCUACCUUCGUUACCACCGGCACCGACACGAACACGGAACCGAUCGUACCGAGUAGCAGAGAAAGGAAAGGGAGAUGGAGGAGUCGGACGAGCGCGUGCGCGCGAGGCCGGAGGGAGGCCCGGGGGCGGGUGACGGCGAGUAGCCGUCAUAGGUGGAAGAGCCGCUGUUCGGCGUGGCGAGAGAACGAGCGAAUCGGUUCUAGGUGCCGGGCGAGUACAGGUAGGCGGAGCCGUGCCAGUGGUGCCAGCAGCAGAGGAGGGGGCGGUACCGGGCCCUCAAGGACGUCUCCGUACUGAGGCACGAGCGGUGGGCCAGGCACGGACUGCGGUGGCCGUUCGUGCGCCAUCCGAGGCAGCGAACCGACGGGGGGGCACGGUGCCACCGCGCGCGAGGCGUUCUAUUACCGGUGCCUCGACAAGCGCGGCGUCGCCGAGCUGCGCGAGGUGGUGGAGGCCUCGCUGUUUCACUCCCUCGAGUGCCUGGUGCAGCGCGCCGACCGCGCGCUCCCGUGCGGCCACUUGUAGCCGGCGCACCGGAAGUGCUGCUCGGACUUGGAACAGAGGGCUUGGUAGAAGAGGUAGCUGGAGUGCUCGGAGCCACUGGUGCCGGCGAGGUUCCUCAAGGUACUCCACUAGUGCCCGUACUACCUUCCGAACCCCUGGGGGUUGCACAGCCUGAAGAAGGGCCACGACCGCGGCCGGCUGGACGUCCCGUACGCGACCGCCAACCGCGCCGACAAACGUGCCGACGUGCGGCACAAGCUGCGGCUCCACCUGGUCUCCGACGCGCCGGCGCUGCGGCCGGUCGGGUCCUUCUUGCUGAUGGAGCUGCACGACGAGCUGAACCGCCGCUCACUCCUAGCCUUCCUGGACGAGCUGGCACUCUGCGAUGCGAGUGUAGAAUGCCUAAACAAACGACGACCAUCACUAUGGUUGAGAUCGUGUCACCUUACCCGUUACUGGCUCGAAGAGGUUUUGGCUAGUAGUUACCGAUCCAAACGCUGCUCGAACGCGUUCAAUAGCCGCAUUCUUUUUUGUAACUUCUUCGACUGUAACGAGCCAACGGGAUAGAAGUUCGACAGUAUUUUCUCUGAGAAGCUGAGGUGGGAGGACGAGGUAACAACAACGGUGCGGUUCGUUUUUGUUGACAGUUUUAUCUUCCAAUGUGUUAUGGGUACCUAAGUGCGAACAAGUAUUUGCAUACCCGUUAUCCUGCUCUAUUUCUACACACCUGAUUUGGAGUCUUCAAAUACGGCCUCUCCAAGAACCCUAGCUGAUAACUGAAAUCCCCAUACCUAAAACUCGAGGAAGGUAAACCACGCCCCGCAGCCUAGACGGGACCUUAUUGUAACCGUUAAGCCUACCACGUACACUACGAGCGAAGUAACAAUUUAGUUAAAUCCACCUCAGAGGGACAACUCUACCUUGUACUACCCUAACUAUACCUUCUAGUCAAACCGUAAUGUGAUCGCUUCCAGCACGGAGAAACAUAAUAUCGUUGUGGUUAAACUAGGCUAUUCUUUAACGUUGUAACAAUUCUCACCUAAUCUACAACAAUUACACAUUAUUAAAUUUACUUACCUGGUACACUAAACAUGGUAAUAAAUACACUGUUGAAGGUAUAAGAGAGUAUCAAGGUUGGAAAACACGGAAGUAAUAGGUGACUAAACAACCUUUAUACGGGUUCUCCGUUAUUAUUUAUAU
rnacentral:rRNA from 1 species